AGCCAGACUCCUACGGGAGGCAGCAGUGGGGAAUAUUGCACAAUGGGGGAAACCCUGAUGCAGCGACGCCGCGUGAGUGAAGAAGUAUUUCGGUAUGUAAAGCUCUAUCAGCAGGGAAGAAAAUGACGGUACCUGAUUAAGAAGCCCCGGCUAACUACGUGCCAGCAGCCGCGGUAAUACGUAUGGGGCAAGCGUUAUCCGGAUUUACUGGGUGUAAAGGGAGCGCAGGCGGCCUGCCAAGUCUGGUGUGAAAACCCGGGGCCCAACCCCGGGCCUGCAUUGGAAACUGGCGGGCUGGAGUGUCGGAGGGGCAGGCGGAAUUCCUAGUGUAGCGGUGAAAUGCGUAGAUAUUAGGAGGAACACCGGUGGCGAAGGCGGCCUGCUGGACGAUGACUGACGCUGAGGCUCGAAAGCGUGGGGAGCAAACAGGAUUAGAUACCCGGGUAC
rnacentral:rRNA from 1 species